GAUGAACGCUGGCGGCGUGCCUAAUACAUGCAAGUCGAGCGAACGGACGAGAAGCUUGCUUCUCUGAUGUUAGCGGCGGACGGGUGAGUAACACGUGGAUAACCUACCUAUAAGACUGGGAUAACUUCGGGAAACCGGAGCUAAUACCGGAUGAUAUUUUGAACCGCAUGGUUCAAAAGUGAAAGACGGUCUUGCUGUCACUUAUAGAUGGAUCCGCGCUGCAUUAGCUAGUUGGUAAGGUAACGGCUUACCAAGGCAACGAUGCAUAGCCGACCUGAGAGGGUGAUCGGCCACACUGGAACUGAGACACGGUACAGACUCCUACGGGAGGCAGCAGUAGGGAAUCUUCCGCAAUGGGCGAAAGCCUGACGGAGCAAAGCCGCGUGAGUGAUGAAGGUCUUCGGAUCGUAAAAAUCUGUUAUUAGGGAAGAACAUAUGUGUAAGUAACUGUGCACAUCUUGACGGUACCUAAUCAGAAAGCCACGGCUAACUACGUG
rnacentral:rRNA from 1 species